AGAGUUUGAUCCUGGCUCAGAACGAACGCUGGCGGCGUGGAUAAGACAUGCAAGUCGAGCGAGAUUUUUUCCUGUAGCAAUACAGGGAAAAGUCUAGCGGCGAACGGGUGCUUAACACGUGGGCAACCUGCCGAGAAGUGGGGGAUAGCUCGCCGAAAGGCGAAUUAAUACCGCAUGUGAUUAGAGAGGACAUCCUUUCGAAAUUAAAGUCGGGGCAACCUGACGCUUUUUGUGGGGCCCGCGGCCUAUCAGCUAGUUGGUGAGGUAACGGCCCACCAAGGCUUUGACGGGUAGCUGGUCUGAGAGGACGACCAGCCACACUGGGACUGAGACACGGCCCAGACACCUACGGGUGGCAGCAGUCGAGAAUUUUUCUCAAUGGGGGAAACCCUGAAGGAGCGACGCCGCGUGGAGGAUGAAGGUCUUCGGAUUGUAAACUCCUGUCAUUGGGGAACAAGGUGCAUACGUUAACUGCGUGUGCAUUGAUAGUACCCGAAGAGGAAGAGACGGCUAACUCUGUGCCAGCAGCCGCGGUAAUACAGAGGUCUCAAGCGUUGUUCGGAUUCAUUGGGCGUAAAGGGUGCGUAGGCGGCGCGGUAAGUCGGGUGUGAAAUCUUGGAGCUUAACUCCGAAACUGCAUUCGAUACUGCCGUGCUUGAGGACUGGAGAGGAGACUGGAAUUUACGGUGUAGCGGUGAAAUGCGUAGAUAUCGUAAGGAAGACCAGUGGCGAAGGCGGGUCUCUGGACAGUUCCUGACGCUGAGGCACGAAGGUCAGGGGAGCAAACGGGAUUAGAUACCCUAGUAGUCC
rnacentral:rRNA from 1 species